UUUUUAAUUUAUGUGCAAAUAUAUAUUUUUGCUCAUGGGAACAAUACAUGAUAGGUAGUUUCAUUCAGCAUAUUCCAAAAUUGUCCCCAGUUUUUGGAAUGAAGCGAUGGAGCAAGAGAUACAUGCAUACUUGCUGUUAUAGUACACACCACGUGAGCAAAGAUUAUCCACUUUUGUGGUAAUUUGUGGCUGUCGAUGCGCAUACUGUAUCGCGCAAGAUGGCCGCCAACUCGCGAUCGCUGAUUGGCGAUGGUCGGGCGGGUUAUUUGACCGGCGGUUGGUGGUUCCAGCACUGCCUGGUGCGAGUAAUUUUGAUCGUGAUUAUACUAAUUUCAUAGUAUGCCCCUUCUCGGUGGCUUAAGCAUUGAGCGAGUUCACACGAGCAGCAGUACAGAGCACAAGUUGCCGUGCUAGUGAAAUCCAACAUCAUUUAGAAGAAUUCCUUCAACGUGUGUCAAAGUGAUUUUGUGUUUUCGAAUCUACGCCAAGCUGUGGAUAACGCAUGCAGAAAAUUUCAUGCUGGUGUUCAUCAUUCAUGAGUUCAUGACGGCGUUCUCCAGGAUCUGACGGCGAACGAAGAAAAAGCAAUGAGACCUGUAAUAUCGAUUCGAUGUUUUUGGAUUUAUUUAAUAAUAAACGAGUGUCCGUUUCUCGUA